AUACAAAACAACAGAUAUAAGUUCAGAUAUGUAAUGUGAUAAUU
rnacentral:guide_RNA from 1 species